AAAGCGAAUUGAAACAUCUUAGUAGCUUGGAAAAAAAUCAAAAGAGAGUUCGAAAGUAAUGGCGAAUGAAAUCGAAUCAGUUUAAGGUUAAUAAUUUUAAAAUAAUGAAAUGUUGAUCAUUUGAAACAAAGUAAAUAAUUAAGGCUUGUAAUUGCAAAAUUAUUUUCCGUUGAUCGAAGCGUAAGAAACUAUGUUUCGUUGUAGAAUUAACUACUUAACAAAAAAUCUAAAUUUUUAUAGUGUAAAGUACCGUGAGGGAAAGUAAUUAACUUUGGGUAGCCUUUAAUUUAUUAGCUUAUUAACAAUUUUUUUAAUAAAAAUGUGUACCUUUUGCAUUAUGGUUCAGGGAGUUAAAUUUAAUAGCAAGCUUAAGUAAAAUUAUAAAGCGUAAAAAAAUUGUUUUGGUAGUUAUUAAAUUUAGACACGAAACCGCUGUGAUCUAAUCAAAUUCAGGUUGAAAAUUUAGUAAAAAUAAAUGGGAAGACCGAAGUAGUGUUUGUUGCAAAAAACUUAUGUGAAAUUUGAUUUGGAGUGAAAGGCUAAUCAAACGCGGCGAUUGCUUGUUUUCUGCGAAAUUUUUUUUAGAAAAGCGUUUAAAAAUUAAAUUUAUAAGGUAAAGCACUGGUUUUUUUGAGGUUGAUUAAUUUCAUUACAAGAUUUUUCCAAACUCUGAAUUUAUAAAUAAUAUUUUAAACAGUGAGAUUGUUAGCGAGAAAGUUGAUAAUCAAGAGAGAAACA
rnacentral:rRNA from 1 species